CUCCCUCGGCCAUACUCCAGGGCGCUUUUGCUGUAAAGCGCCUGGCAUUACGGAGGGUACAUGAAAGAGCACGCAUCCCUCCCCAGGGAGACUGCUGUCCUGUGGGGCCCACUCGUGGAGCUGACAGC
rnacentral:snoRNA from 1 species